AUAAUGAUUCCGCAUGGUUUCAUUAUUAAAGGAUUCCGGUAAAGGAUGGGGAUGCGUUCCAUUAGGUUGUUGGUGAGGUAACGGCUCACCAAGCCUUCGAUGGAUAGGGGUUCUGAGAGGAAGGUCCCCCACAUUGGAACUGAGACACGGUCCAAACUCCUACGGGAGGCAGCAGUGAGGAAUAUUGGUCAAUGGGCGCGAGCCUGAACCAGCCAAGUAGCGUGAAGGAUGACUGCCCUAUGGGUUGUAAACUUCUUUUAUAUUAGAAUAAAGUGCAGUAUGUAUACUGUUUUGUAUGUAUAAUAUGAAUAAGGAUCGGCUAACUCCGUGCCAGCAGCCGCGGUAAUACGGAGGAUCCGAGCGUUAUCCGGAUUUAUUGGGUUUAAAGGGAGCGUAGGUGGACUGGUAAGUCAGUUGUGAAAGUUUGCGGCUCAACCGUAAAAUUGCAGUUGAUACUGUCAGUCUUGAGUACAGUAGAGGUGGGCGGAAUUCGUGGUGUAGCGGUGAAAUGCUUAGAUAUCACGAAGAACUCCGAUUGCGAAGGCAGCUCACUGGACUGCAACUGACACUGAUGCUCGAAAGUGUGGGUAUCAAACAGGAUUAGAUACCCUGGUAGUCCACACAGUAAACGAUGAAUACUCGCUGUUUGCGAUAUACAGUAAGCGGCCAAGCGAAAGCAUUAAGUAUUCCACCUGGGGAGUACGCCGGCAACGGUGAAACUCAAAGGAAUUGACGGGGGCCCGCACAAGCGGAGGAACAUGUGGUUUAAUUCGAUGAUACGCGAGGAACCUUACCCGGGCUUAAAUUGCAGUGGAAUGAUGUGGAAACAUGUCAGUGAGCAAUCACCGCUGUGAAGGUGCUGCAUGGUUGUCGUCAGCUCGUGCCGUGAGGUGUCGGCUUAAGUGCCAUAACGAGCGCAACCCUUAUCUUCAGUUACUAACAGGUCAUGCUGAGGACUCUGGAGAGACUGCCGUCGUAAGAUGUGAGGAAGGUGGGGAUGACGUCAAAUCAGCACGGCCCUUACGUCCGGGGCUACACACGUGUUACAAUGGGGGGUACAGAAGGCAGCUACCUGGUGACAGGAUGCUAAUCCCAAAAGCCUCUCUCAGUUCGGAUCGAAGUCUGCAACCCGACUUCGUGAAGCUGGAUUCGCUAGUAAUCGCGCAUCAGCCACGGCGCGGUGAAUACGUUCCCGGGCCUUGUACACACCGCCCGUCAAGCCAUGGGAGCCGGGGGUACCUGAAGUACGUAACCGCAAGGAGCGUCCUAGGGUAAAACUGGUGACUGGGGCUAAGUCGUAACAAGGUAGCCGUACCGGAAGGUGCGGCUGGAACACCUCCUUU
rnacentral:rRNA from 1 species